AUUGAACGCUGGCGGCAGGCCUAACACAUGCAAGUCGAACGGUAACAGGAAGCAGCUUGCUGCUUCGCUGACGAGUGGCGGACGGGUGAGUAAUGUCUGGGAAACUGCCUGAUGGAGGGGGAUAACUACUGGAAACGGUAGCUAAUACCGCAUAACGUCGCAAGACCAAAGAGGGGGACCUUAGGGCCUCUUGCCAUCGGAUGUGCCCAGAUGGGAUUAGCUAGUAGGUGGGGUAACGGCUCACCUAGGCGACGAUCCCUAGCUGGUCUGAGAGGAUGACCAGCCACACUGGAACUGAGACACGGUCCAGACUCCUACGGGAGGCAGCAGUGGGGAAUAUUGCACAAUGGGCGCAAGCCUGAUGCAGCCAUGCCGCGUGUAUGAAGAAGGCCUUCGGGUUGUAAAGUACUUUCAGCGGGGGGGAAGGGAGUAAAGUUAAUACCUUUGCUCAUUGACGUUACCCGCAGAAGAAGCACCGGCUAACUCCGUG
rnacentral:rRNA from 1 species